AGAGUUUGAUCCUGGCUCAGAGCGAACGCUGGCGGCAGGCUUAACACAUGCAAGUCGAACGGGCACCUUCGGGUGUCAGUGGCAGACGGGUGAGUAACACGUGGGAACGUACCUUUCGGUUCGGAACAACUCCGGGAAACUGGAGCUAAUACCGGAUACGCCCUUUUGGGGGAAAGAUUUAUCGCCGAAAGAUCGGCCCGCGUCUGAUUAGCUUGUUGGUGAGGUAAUGGCUCACCAAGGCGACGAUCAGUAGCUGGUCUGAGAGGAUGAUCAGCCACACUGGGACUGAGACACGGCCCAGACUCCUACGGGAGGCAGCAGUGGGGAAUAUUGGACAAUGGGCGAAAGCCUGAUCCAGCCAUGCCGCGUGAGUGAUGAAGGCCUUAGGGUUGUAAAGCUCUUUCGGCGGGGACGAUAAUGACGGUACCCGCAGAAGAAGCCCCGGCUAACUUCGUGCCAGCAGCCGCGGUAAUACGAAGGGGGCUAGCGUUGCUCGGAAUCACUGGGCGUAAAGGGCGCGUAGGCGGAUCUUUAAGUCAGAGGUGAAAGCCCAGGGCUCAACCCUGGAAUUGCCUUUGAUACUGAGGAUCUCGAGACCGGAAGAGGUAAGUGGAACUGCGAGUGUAGAGGUGAAAUUCGUAGAUAUUCGCAAGAACACCAGUGGCGAAGGCGGCUUACUGGUCCGGUUCUGACGCUGAGGCGCGAAAGCGUGGGGAGCAAACAGGAUUAGAUACCCUGGUAGUCCACGCCGUAAACGAUGGAUGCUAGCCGUUGGCAGGCUUGCCUGUCAGUGGCGCAGCUAACGCUUUAAGCAUCCNCGCCUGGGGAGUACGGUCGCAAGAUUAAAACUCAAAGGAAUUGACGG
rnacentral:rRNA from 1 species